UACGGAGGGUGCAAACGUUGCUCGGAAUCAUUGGGCGUAAAGCGCACGUAGGCGGCCCAGCCAGUCGGGUGUGAAAGCCCUCGGCUUAACCGAGGAAGUGCAUUCGAAACUACUGGGCUUGAGUACUGAAGAGGAUCGCGGAAUUCCCGGUGUAGAGGUGAAAUUCGUAGAUAUUCGCAAGAACACCAGUGGCGAAGGCGGCUCACUGGCCCGUAACUGACGCUGAGGCACGAAAGCGUGGGGAGCAAACAGG
rnacentral:rRNA from 1 species